rnacentral:lncRNA from 1 species
CUCUUUUUGGGUUUUUAAAACAAAUUUUUCAAAUUUUUAUGUGAUUUUCGGAUUUUUACUUCAAAACACACUAAAACACACCAAAACUGCUCAAAAACACUUAAAAACAGCAAGGAACAAGUCUCCAAGUUAAGGGUGAUAAAAUCCCACGAAUUUGCAUCAAAAACACUUAGUUACCCCCCCACACUUAAAUCAAACAUUGUCCUCAAUGUUUCAAGCAUAAAAUCACACUAAACAAAAAGAAACACACAAACAGCAACUAAAACAACUAAAUGGCAGAUUAGAAAGAAACAACAAAGAGAAGGGUUUAGGAACGCAAAUCUGGAAUUGGAGUGAUUCCUUGGGCUUCCUUUGUUGAAUUGCAUGGGUUGCCUCCCAAGUAGCGCUUUCUUUUACGUCUUGCAGCCGGACGAUGCUCCAUUGAAGGUUUAUGGCACCCCACGGCAUGGAGGGGUGCAACUACAAUCUGUUCGACGAACCACUUCAUGCUUUGGGUCCUUGAAUGGAGUGGGAUAAUGAUCCUUUCUUAUUGUCGUGUUUUUCUUUUCUAAUCAACACGAAUUCUCCCACCACGUUGAAUUCGAUUAGGUACCUGCACCACAUGAGGUAACAACCUAUUAGUUGAAAUGGGAAUCGAAUUUGGAAUAGGUGGCUUACCUUUGUACGGCAAAGAAGUGGUAGCACAAUGGACGGAUGCACAAGGGUUUCUCAUGGCCAAUUGUGG